GAUGAACGCUGGCGGCGUGCCUAAUACAUGCAAGUCGAGCGAACAUACGAGGAUCUUGCUCCUCUGACGUUAGCGGCGGACGGGUGAGUAACACGUGGAUAACCUACCUAUAAGACUGGGAUAACUUCGGGAAACCGGAGCUAAUACCGGAUAAUAUAUUGAACCGCAUGGUUCAAUAGUGAAAGACGGCUUUUCUGUCACUUAUAGAUUGAUCCGCGCCGCAUUAGCUAGUUGGUAAGGUAACGGCUUACCAAGGCAACGAUGCGUAGCCGACCUGAGAGGGUGAUCGGCCACACUGGAACUGAGACACGGUCCAGACUCCUACGGGAGGCAGCAGUAGGGAAUCUUCCGCAAUGGGCGAAAGCCUGACGGAGCAACGCCGCGUGAGUGAUGAAGGUCUUCGGAUCGUAAAACUAUGUUAUUAGGGAAGAACAAAUGUGUAAGUAACUAUGCACGUCUUGACGGUACCUAAUCAGAAAGCCACGGCUAACUACGUG
rnacentral:rRNA from 1 species